CAAGUUUCAAACAAUAGAUGGGCUUGGUAUUUAUUUAACAGUUAAAAUUGUUGUUUUGGGGAAAAAAGAAUUAGCUAUGCACAUGGUUACGGUUUCUUUGUAUUCUGGUCCAUAGUAGUGAUUCAAGUUGUAGAGAACAAUGACUAUUGUUUGAAUGGAUCGGUGUUUAAUGACGUCACAGCCAUAUUCUACGACAACAUUACAACAGACAUUCCAAUAUUCGAAUAUUCUGAUUUACUGAAUGGUUCUCUAAGGUUUGAUCAAACUUCAUUUGCCUGCAUUAAUGAUUUAAGAUUAGAAGGAGUAAAACUAUAUGACACAAGUAACUUAAAGGAAAACUGUGAAAGACGAUCUUUUUCAUGUCAACUCGAUUGUAAUGGGAUUCGAAACUUUUUGUUUCUGAGGCGAGUUUCUUUACCGAAUGGUUUACUGUAUUUUAACAAGAAUCUUUACACAGUCAAUGUGACCGAGAAUACAUCGCCAGUGACAAUCUUUGAUUUUUCUGACCAAUUAAAUCAGACAGAUUGCUAUCCAAGUACUAACACAGGUCGACUACAUAUAAAGAGCAAUGAUUCGGGACCAUUUAUGAUUUUCGAUAAACGAAUUGUUCUCAUACGAGGACAGAUGCUAGAUUAUGAUUCCGGGAAAACUAGUUAU